AUUGAACGCUGGCGGCAGGCCUUACACAUGCAAGUCGAACGAGUGGCGGACGGGUGAGUAAUGUCUGGGAAACUGCCCGAUGGAGGGGGAUAACUAUCGGAAACGGUAGCUAAUACCGCAUACCAUUCGAGGUGCCGGGAUGGGAUUAGCUUGUAGGGGGGGUAAUGGCUCACCUAGGCGACGAUCCCUAGCUGGUCUGAGAGGAUGACCAGCCACGCUGGAACUGAGACACGGCCCGGACUCCUACGGGAGGCAGCAGUGGGGAAUAUUGCACAAUGGGCGCAAGCCUGAUGCAGCCAUGCCGCGUGUAUGAAGAAGGCCUUCGGGUUGUAAAGUACUUUCAGCGAGGAGGCGUUACUCGCAGAAGAAGCACCGGCUAACUCCGUGCCAGCAGCCGCGGUAAUUC
rnacentral:rRNA from 1 species